GAUUAUGGCAACGUGAGGGAGCAGCUGAGCCGCCUGGCGGGACCCCCUGUAUCCCGGCGGACAGGAGUGCGGAGCCACACGGUUGCCCAGCCCGAGCGCUGUUUGCGGCGGUCUCCGAGCUGAGUGGAGCGCUCCAGCCUCCAGCCCUGCCCCAGCUCAACAUUGUCUUCCUGGAUGCUCUUUCUUUUCCUUUUGACGGUAAAGAUGGAAAGAAAGUGGAUAUUGGAGGAUUUUAAUUCUAUCUUUUUUGGUGUGCUCUGUCUCCUUUCCAUAGAUGGAGGUAAACUAGAACAAGUAAAACAUUCAGAUACAUACUGUGUGUUUCAAGAUAAGAAAUACCAUGUAGGAGAAAGAUGGCAUCCUUAUCUAGAACCCUAUGGCCUUGUUUACUGCGUUAAUUGUCUUUGUUCAGAGAAUGGAAAUGUUUUGUGCAGCAGAAUAAGAUGCCCAAGUCUACACUGUGCUUCCCCUGUGCAUGUACCACAGCUGUGCUGCCCACGAU